rnacentral:rRNA from 1 species
GAUGAACGCUGGCGGCGUGCCUAAUACAUGCAAGUCGAGCGUACAGAUGAGGAGCUUGCUCCUCUGACGUUAGCGGCGGACGGGUGAGUAACACGUGGAUAACCUACCUAUAAGACUGGGAUAACUUCGGGAAACCGGAGCUAAUACCGGAUAAUAUAUUGAACCGCAUGGUUCAAUAGUGAAAGACGGUUUUGCUGUCACUUAUAGAUGGAUCCGCGCCGCAUUAGCUAGUUGGUAAGGUAACGGCUUACCAAGGCAACGAUGCGUAGCCGACCUGAGAGGGUGAUCGGCCACACUGGAACUGAGACACGGUCCAGACUCCUACGGGAGGCAGCAAUAGGGAAUCUUCCGCAAUGGGCGAAAGCCUGACGGAGCAACGCCGCGUGAGUGAUGAAGGUCUUCGGAUCGUAAAACUCUGUUAUUAGGGAAGAACAAAUGUGUAAGUAACUAUGCACGUCUUGACGGUACCUAAUCAGAAAGCCACGGCUAACUACGUG